UUACACACACACACACACACACACACACACACACACACACACACACACACUAUCUGCCUAGCAGAGGCCACUCACACACACACUAUCUGCCUAGCAGAGGCUUGGAUCCCAGAGAGUUCCCCUGUCUUCUGUCUGGUACACUUGGAGGGAAGAUCGCCUGAGCUGCUCAGUGCUAAGCUAGCUCUCCUGCCUCAGGGGUGACAUCUUCUCCCAUGAGAGACUGGGGCAGACAGCACCUCUCAUGGUGCAGAUUGGAGUACCAACUCUGAAGGCCUGCCUGUUCACCUGCAGUCCCACCCAGAUGGCAGACAGACCAAAUGUCCCUGCGCCCUGGUCAUUCUGAGGACACUAGAGGCCAGCCUGAUUUAAGAGACUAAUAUAUGCAUGGCCCUUCAUUCUCAAAGCUGCUGAGGACUCUGCAUGGCCUUCUCACAUCCAGACCUCAAGUCCAGGCAUGAAGGUUGAGCAGGGGGCCACUGGGAGUGUCCCAGCGGCUGGAAGGCACCUCCAGCUGCAGAUUCAUCGAUGCUGGGCAUAACCUGGUUAAUCUCCCAUCCCAUCCAUUCCAGUCAG
rnacentral:lncRNA from 1 species